rnacentral:rRNA from 1 species
AGCGAACGUUGGCGGCGCGCCUAACACAUGCAAGUCGAGCGAGAACGGAUCCUUCGGGGUCUUAGUAAAGCGGCGCACGGGUGAGUAACACGUGGGUAAUCUACCCUUUGGACGGGGGACAACCUCGGGAAACCGGGGCUAAUACCGCGUAUGACCAUCACGCCUUCGGGCGAGGUGGUGAUAGGGGGCCUCUCCAUGGAAGCUCUCGACAGAGGACGAGCCCGCGGCCCAUCAGCUAGUUGGUGAGGUAAUGGCCCACCAAGGCGACGACGGGUAGCUGGUCUGAGAGGAUGAUCAGCCACACUGGAACUGAGACACGGUCCAGACUCCUACGGGAGGCUG